UUUUUGAUAAAAAAAAUAAUUCAGUUAAAACCCAUUUAAAAAAAAAUUACUGAGCUUUUCAUAUUUUCAUAAAACUUAAACUACGCAACUGUAUUAAGUUUCUUUAAAUGUUUGAAGAAUAAAUACUAAUUUCUCAAAUUAUUUUGUGAAGGAAAAGUUGAAAAAAUGAAAAUGUAAUUUUGACUCUCUAUACCCCAUCACUGACUGAGUAUGGUAAGAUUCGCAGCAAUAAAAUCUACAUUUUCUACUGCAACCAGGCGUCCAUCAAAUCGCUUAUUUCUAAAGUGGAUGUGAAAUGGCGCUAAUUUUUUAAGGAGAUGGCUGUGAGAUUGAAAAACCUGAACCUGUAUUCCAAGCCAUUCCGAAAUUGAAGUUAAUUGCAAUACAAAUGAGCUCGCUUUCGUGGGGCCAACAUCAAUGAUACCAAAAACAAACAGUGGCCGAUCUUCAGCGGGUGGUCUUAAAUAAAUAAAAUGUCAACAGAAUUACCCUUAAUACAAGCCAUUCAAUUUUGAAUCUUUUACUUAUAUUUACUAAGCUAAUUUUCACUCGGAGAGAUCAUUUUACGUACAUCGAAAGCCGUGGCUAAAAGUAUGCGAUUUAUUUUACAAAACAAGCCUGAAAGAUAGUUCUCUAUUUGGUGGCAGUUUUUUGCUUCUCGUGUCUGUCAUUUGUAAUUUUUCCAAGAAUUACUAUUUUCACAACUGUAAUAAAUUAUUUCGUGCGUCCUUCAUUUCAAAAAUUUCACAUAUCCUUAAGUAAUAAUUAAUUAAGUAAUAACGCUAAUUGAAUUUGUCAAUUGAAAAUGUCCAAAGUUAACUUAUGUAAAUGGAAGCAAUGGGAAUUUAUUAGCCAUCAAACAAUCACGUAAAUAUAGAAGUGACUGAGAGUAGAAUUAUCAAGUGUUUCUGAAACAAAUUAACACAAUUAAAUGUCAUCAAUAUGCAAAUGCAAAAAUAAGAGAAUAUGCAUAGGAUGAUGAAAUAAAUGAUGACAAUUUAAAAAAAAACUGGGAUUUCGGUAUCUUCGGAAUGUUUUUAAGGGGGGUACAAAUAGCACACUGAAGUGGAAUAAAUCAAAAGUCAUAGUAGCAUUAUAUAACAUCGGCUUCAACUAACAGAAAGCUGAACUGCCAUCGCUACGUUGGGGAGUGGCCUAGGACGGCUUCCCGGUAUUCCUUCAAAGUAGCUAAAUGGUUUUGAAAUUGGCUCGGGUCGAUUUUAGAGACCUGUGUUGGCGAUGUUGUUUUUGUGGGGUCUAUCUAACUUACAAUUUAUUUUCCACAGCGGAGGCCACUAUGCACUGACCGCAUGAAUGAGUUAAGGGUAUGUUUAUCUCGCGCAUAGGUGACGUGAAUUGGUCACCAACAUUGUGCGAUUUGACACCGGAAACCUAUUUUUUGUGUGGUUUCCUAAAUUCGCAGGUCUAUGCCGAUAAGCCGCAAUCGACCGAUGCCCUUAAAUCUCAGGCAAGCGCUCAAGUUCAAACGCAUACAUGUGUCAGAGUGAAUGAAAAUUGGGCCACUUGGAUCCAUAAAAAGCCGUGGCGUACAUUUUAACGAUGUAUAUUCUCUUGUUGAUUGUUGAUGCUUCCAAUAGGUUGGGAUGAUGUAUUUCCCACCGAAUUUCAUUUAUCAAAAAGUCAGAGCUAUUGCUAAAUGCUUACUCCAACACGAAUUAGGAUGUAGAAGCUCCAGCCAACACUGGUGCAGCUAUCAUAGAUGCAGGAGGCAUAUUGAAAAAUCGUAUGGCACACUCCAAACUGAGUUUGGCAUUGAAUUCUUUUCCUCAGUAUAAAUCACUAGGCCUACAUAUGUAGAUAACAUUUUCUCGCUAUGUUGCAUAGAACGGAUCAAAAUACCAGAGGAUGGUUGAGCAAAUUACAGACUCGUUCGUUUCCUUUGCACACAUCACACUAAAUGUGGAGGAGAGCAUGCUUUCUAAAGCUCAUCAUUUCUACACGAAGAGAAGGUCGGUAUACACCGCUCUACAAAAUGGUAUGGAUAGAAAGGAUGGUGAGUUCUGAGGUGUUCACCUUCACUUUCACAUUAGUCAGCAGAGGCAGCCUAAGACAGGAGUACUGUUGACACUGCUCUAGUCCUUGAUGUUCAACACGAUGCCCAAGAAAACGGAAGGAGGUUCUGCUGAUCUUGCAGAAAUGCAAUGCCGCGAAAUUCAAAAAUUACAUAUAUAACAAGAUCACAAAGACGCCAAGCUUCGAUUUGGUAUACUAACAGUACGCUGUUUGUUGGCAUCACAUUUAAGUUUAGGCCAAAUUUAUGAUAAACUAUGCAAGAAAUGCGGAACAAAUGGGGAGAUUAUGGAGCAUACCUUUGGGGAUGUCCAGCCCUUGAUAGGAGCAGCUCGGUCUCGUAGAAGAGAAAAUUUUCCACCAAAUUUGAAGGAAGCCAUUAAAUACCACUGCUGCCAGAGAUAGAUUAACUACAUGUAGUUUAUCUAGUAAUGCUAUGCACCUUAUUCAUUUUUGAGAAACCACGAAGGCCUCACCUGAGCCACAUCUACGUCAGUCUAUGCUGGAUCCUCGGACAUCGAAAUUAUGAAGGGAAUGAGUUUGCUGAUGAGAUGGCCAGAUGCGGCUCAGAGAUGCCUUCCUUCCGUCGUCAGGAAAGGACACUGUGCUAUAGCAAAAAUGCUUCAAUGGUGGCGAAUACUAACAAGUACUCUCUGCAGAGGCUACCAUGAUGAGGAUGAGG